GGGAAGCGCGCCUCAAGAUGAGACCUCCCGAGCCACAAGGCUCCUAAAGGAACCAUGAAGACUACGUGGUUGAUAGGGUGGGUGUGUAUCGCAGCAAUGCCGAGCUAACCACUACUAAUGAUCCGUGCGGCUUGACCAU
rnacentral:rRNA from 1 species